CCAGAGCCGAUUAAGCACCUUGGUGCGGCUGCAGACGGGUAACCGGCUCGACGUUCAUCACAUCAUCCGCGACCUUCUUUCCUAUUACCCUUGUUUGUUGCUGCCACUAUUUGGUUUUG
rnacentral:pre_miRNA from 13 species